GCGAGUGAAGAGGGAACAGCCCAAAAUUGUAAUCUGGCUCUUUCAGAGUCUGAGUUGUAAUUUCAAGAACUGUUUUCUGCUCUGGACCAUGUACAAGUCUGUUGAAAUGCAGCAUCAUUGAGGGUGAGAAUCCUGUUCAUGAUAUGGACUACCAGGGCUUUAUGAUACAGUUUCUAAGAGUCGAGUUGUUUGGGAAUGCAGCUCAAAGUGGGUGGUAAAUUCCAUCUAAGGCUAAAUAUUGGUGAGAGACCGAUAGCAAACAAGUACCGUGAGGGAAAGAUGAAAAGAACUUUGGAAAGAGAGUUAACAGUACGUGAAAUUGUUAAAAGGGAAACAGUUGAAGUUAGACUUGUUGUUGUUGGUUCAGCUCUUUANNAGGGUGUUUUCUGAUGAUUAACAAACCAACAUCAAUCUUUGGGUGUUGGAUAAGGGUCAUUGAUAAUGUAGCAGUUUUGGCUGUGUUAUAGACCUUAACUNGGNAUACAAUGCUUAGGAUUGAGGAAUGCAGUAAGCCAUUUAUUUGGUGGGACAAUUUAUUGUUCUUCUUACUGAGGAUGUUGGUGCAAUAGCUUUAAUUGACCCGUCUUGAAAC
rnacentral:rRNA from 1 species